rnacentral:rRNA from 2 species
UGUGCCUAAUACAUGCAAGUCGAACGCGUUGGCCCAACUGAUUGAACGUGCUUGCACGGACUUGACGUUGGUUUACCAGCGAGUGGCGGACGGGUGAGUAACACGUAGGUAACCUGCCCCAAAGCGGGGGAUAACAUUUGGAAACAGAUGCUAAUACCGCAUAACAAUUUGAAUCGCAUGAUUCAAAUUUAAAAGAUGGUUUCGGCUAUCACUUUGGGAUGGACCUGCGGCGCAUUAGCUUGUUGGUAGGGUAACGGCCUACCAAGGCUGUGAUGCGUAGCCGAGUUGAGAGACUGAUCGGCCACAAUGGAACUGAGACACGGUCCAUACUCCUACGGGAGGCAGCAGUAGGGAAUCUUCCACAAUGGGCGCAAGCCUGAUGGAGCAACACCGCGUGAGUGAAGAAGGGUUUCGGCUCGUAAAGCUCUGUUGUUAGAGAAGAACGUGCGUGAGAGCAACUGUUCACGCAGUGACGGUAUCUAACCAGAAAGUCACGGCUAACUACGUGCCAGCAGCCGCGGUAAUACGUAGGUGGCAAGCGUUAUCCGGAUUUAUUGGGCGUAAAGCGAGCGCAGGCGGUUGGAUAAGUCUGAUGUGAAAGC